AUAUCUUUCUCGGCCUUUUGGCUAAAAACAAGUUUAGUAUCUGUUCUUAUCAGUGUUCUUAUCAGUUUAAUAUCUGAUAUUAAACUGAUAAGAACAGAUACAUAGCGUUGCACUACUGCAUGCACACCCCCC
rnacentral:snRNA from 1 species